CAAGUUAAAGCUUUAAUAAGCAUUUUAGUUACAUUAAAAAGAUAAUUUUAAAUAAUUUAAUUUGA
rnacentral:tRNA from 1 species